rnacentral:rRNA from 1 species
AUUGAACGCUGGCGGCAGGCUUAACACAUGCAAGUCGAGCGGCGUCGCGGACGGGUGAGUAAUAUAUGGGAACGUGCCCAGUAGCGGGGGAUAACUACUCGAAAGAGUGGCUAAUCCCGCAUAAUAUUGGAACGGCCGAUAACGGAUUAGCGAGUUGGAGGGGGAAAUGCGCACCAAGGCAACGAUCCGUAGCUGGUGUGAGAGGACGACCAGCCACACUGGGACUGAGACACGGCCCAGACUCCUACGGGAGGCAGCAGUGGGGAAUUUUGCACAAUGGGGGAAAGCCUGAUCCAGCCAUCCCGCGUGUAUGAUGAAGGCCCUCGGGUUGUAAAGUACUUUUAGCAGAGAAGCGUUACCUGCAGAAGAAGCACCGGCUAACUACGUGCCAGCAGCCGCGGUAAUAC